UACGUAGGGAGCAAGCGUUGUCCGGAAUCAUUGGGCGUAAAGCGCGCGUAGGCGGCCCCGUAAGUCCGCUGUGAAAGUCAAAGGCUCAACCUUUGGAAGCCGGUGGAUACUGUGGGGCUAGAGUCCGGAAGAGGCGAGUGGAAUUCCUGGUGUAGCGGUGGAAUGCGCAGAUAUCAGGAGGAACACCAAUAGCGAAGGCAGCUCGCUGGGACGGUACUGACGCUAAGGCGCGAAAGCGUGGGGAGCGAACAGG
rnacentral:rRNA from 1 species